rnacentral:piRNA from 1 species
UUGUGGUCAAGAAGUCUGACGUGG